GCUGUUCACGCUGUGUCCUGCGUCGUCACAGCAGCGUGCUGCUCCUGCGCCGCCGCCGCCGCCGCAGCCGUUAGCCCGUUAGCGCGAGGAGAGGAGACAUGUGGCCGUGAGCGCGGCGCGGCGACGCUCGUCUAGGCCACCCGACGCCCUCCUGCAGUCCCGGCCUCUUCUUCGCGUAGCCACGCCCACACGCGCUGCUCGGCCCCGACGCGAGCUCCUCCUCAGCCGGCCAGCCCUCGACAACAAGGUAUUACUGCCUACUUCUGCCAUCGACACUUCCUGCGGUAAUCUUGGCUGUCUAUCUGCAUUGGCUUAGCAUGAAGCAAGUAUGCAGCUCUGUUCUAAUUUCAGAGACUCAGAAUCACAGUGACAAUCAAGGCAGUUUAGCUGAAAGUAUAAGGCAAUGGUAGUCUUAUACGAUGCAUAAUUUGUUUUUGCCACCUCCUAGAUGUAUUUUGAUUAUGCUCCAAUCAGAAAAAUUCAUCAAUUAUUUUUCCA